CACGUCGAAUAUCGACGUCAUAAACACGAGCAAGUUUGGUGUUUAUGACGUCGAUAUUCGACGUCAUAAACACGAGCACGUUUGGUGUUUAUGACGUCGAUAUUCGACGUCAUAAACACGGGCGAAUAUCGACGUCAUAAACACGUCGAAUAUCGACGUCAUAAACACGAGCAAGUUUGGUGUUUAUGACGUCGAUAUUCGACGUCAUAAACACGAGCAACUUUGGUGUUUAUGACGUCGAUAUUCGACGUC